GACAGAGGGUGCAAACGUUGUUCGGAUUUACUGGGCGUAAAGCGCGUGUAGGCGGCUUGGCAAGUCGGAUGUGAAAGCCCACGGCUCAACCGUGGAAGCGCAUCCGAAACGGCCUCGCUCGAGUCUCGGAGAGGAAGGUGGAAUGCUUGGUGUAGAGGUGAAAUUCGUAGAUAUCUGGAGGAACACCGGUGGCGAAGGCGGCAUCCUGGACCGACACUGACGCUGAGGAGCGAAAGCCAGGGGAGCAAAGCGGG
rnacentral:rRNA from 1 species